AUUGAGGGCGCCGGGGAGGGAACUGUCCAAUCAGGUUCACAGUCAGAGAGGAAGGGGCGGCUCCCAGUAUCUGGCGGGGACUUUGUCUCUGGCUCCACUCGGAGAUCAGUUUACUUCUUCGCUUCCAUGUGUUCUCUUUCCCGGAGGUCUCAGUGAUUCUGCCACAGCCUCAGCUCCCAUCGCUCUGUGACUUCAUGGUGUUGGAAGAUUCAUAGACUCCAGGACAUUUCUGAAGCCGAGAAAUGGAGCCCACCCUGCCACAAAUACCAGCAAGUUCUGCUACAGUAAUGAAAAUACGGGUCACUCUGACCUCUCCCCAUAAAAACCAAACAGAAGAGUCCCUGUGACCAAGUGCAAAGGUGAAACUUUACUCUCAUGAAUGUAUCUUGAACCUCUCAGACUUAAUUCUGGCCUCAUCUCAAAGUCACAUGAGACACAAUAAAAACGCAAUAAAUAA